AUUGCAAUUUGCAUUUGAGCUCAGCAGUCGAGCGCAAGCUUUGGAUGAACUUCUGCUUCUGCAGUCGGCAUUCUUACAGGAGAACCCAAGAUUCACUGUACCUGUAUGCAUUUCAAAACUGAAUAAUUGAUAGCAACAAGUCAAUAUUUGAAGUUGCAGCCAAAUGGUGUGGCUUCUCUGCUGCAAGAGCUACAUGUCACCAUUGAAGCAAGGACCAGCUCGACUCCUGCAGUAGGAGUCCAGCCUCGUCCAG